GUGCCCGGGCUGUGCGCGGGCACCCAGUGGGCCCCGCGGCCCGGCGAGAGGGGCGCGAUGGUGUCCGGGGCAGUUGUGUGUUUGCACUCCUCCGGGCGGUGCUGGCGGUGCUCCUUCUGGCGGGGUCGCUCCAGGGUCGGCGCAGAGGCUGCGUGGAAGGCAGAGGGGGCAAAAUCAGCUGGCAACCCGAGGGUUCAGGCUGUCGACAUGUAGGUCAUGGCUGUGACCUGGUUAAUAGUGGCCAAAUACCCGAGGACAGCUGUGCUGGUGACGCACUGGCCCCAGAUCAGCAUGUGGCCUUUAUUUACUGUCACUAGAGCUGACCUAAGAAGGGGCUGACACAGUGCUCUCAGGGACAGCUCAUCUCCCAGGGUCACAGUCGCUCUGGGAAAAGCCCCCUCACCUUUCCCCUUUGCUGGAGAAGGAGCUUGGAUCUCCAGCGCUGCCUGGCCUUUUCCCAAUAUGCCAAGCCCACUUCACUGAAGCUUGGUUUGCCUGCAAGUUGCAGAUGAGUCACAGAAGUGAAAAUAUCACACAAAUUUGUUAAACCAUGAAGCGUGCAGGAUAGCUUUUGUUUUGUUCCACUUUCAUCCUGAAGCCACUGAUCAGUGACAAGAAGGAACCUUAGAAUUAACCCUUUGCAAUAAAAUCUGGAUCAGGAAGUCCUCUGCAGCAGGUAGUUAUUGCAGUUUCUAACAUGGGUCCAGAAGAGUGGAAUGAAUGAAGCCUGAAUUCCUGUCCAUUUGUCUCCUAAUAGCUCUUCGUUGCAAUCAGCUGUCUCUCGCUUCAUGUUUCUUAUGUCCUCACCCCUGCAGGAGACACAACGUGCUGUGCUUAGGUCAGAGCUGUGUUCCUGGCCAGCCAGCAUGUGUAAUAUCUCACCAUGUUGCUGACAUCUAACAGAAGUGCUGGAGACCCAAUAGGAUGCCCUGGGAUGAGUGUCCUCUCCUGACCAGCCACAACAUGUGGGAUGACUACUGCCUCAGCUGACUACUGCAGCAGUUCUUGUGGAAGAGCAUGUGGCAUCCUCCAUGCGAACUGCAGAUGCAGAGGAAAAUAAAGAGGAAAGGUAUCAGGACUGCUGCCACUGUGCCAUGGCUGCCUUUACUGUGAACAGUCCUGCUCUGGAGAAGAUCAUCUGGGAAAAAGUGGACACCUUGUGAAAAGUCAGGGAAAAAGUUAAUGUUACCAAAAGAAUACAUCUUUUAAGGCUGAAAUAUGUUUCAUCUGAACUGUUACAUUUUUCCGUAGGAAUAUGGAAACUAGGUUAGUGGAACAGGACAUUUCAAAUUAAAAGUUUUGGAUUAAACCUUUUAGGGAACACCACCCCAAGAAGGAGUUCUAGCUUCACCUGUAACCUUUACAUGGGCCAGGGGCUUUGAACUGGUACACAUACUGCUUUUGUUUUCCACAGCAGAUCACCAGGUGAAGAGGAGAUGUUUUUUGCUAAGUUUUCUAUCAGGUGUGCUUGAUACUGUUGACUAUUGAUACUGUUGAUAUUGUAGCAGGACAAUUGCUAAAGUGGAUGUGGUGGCUUGAGUUUCUGCUCCAAACUGGAGCCUGAAACUGUUACUCCAGGUUAUGUUGUCUGAGGUUGAUCUUAGAAAGCAUUCCCAGUUGUUCCCUGUCAGCAUUUCCUCCGUCAGAUUUGAAAGUGUUUGUUUUCUUUUAGUGUCCAUAUCAUAUGAACUUGAAUGAGAAGUUUAGUCUAGGAAGUAGUAAGCCAAGACAUCAUCUAGCAAAGGGCUCUCUAUGGCAUUACCUGGCCACUCUUUCAAAAGGCUCACGGUACCUCUGGAGUGCAGCUUCUCAGUACUUUGGAUUACCCAAGGGAAGUUUGGUUUUUUUUUCACAGCAUCCUGAUUCUUAUCGCUGAAGUGUGAAUUCAGAUACUAAUCGGUUGUUCUCAUAAAGACUGAGUUUCCAUAACAUACUCUACAGGAGUUGUCUACACAGAAGGUCUAUGGAGUUUUCUUAUUUGAUGAAAUGUGUAGCCACAGGCUAAGGUGUGAUAACUGCAAUUAAAUAUGAAAAUGUCGCUUGUGUAUUAAUAUUCCUGAUAAAGAGCCAGUACAAUAAAAAAAAAUGUUGCACUGCACAAUUAAAAUGCUUUGCCUUUGGGUUCGAGUAAAUGCAAAAUAUUUUUGUUCCAUGACUAACAGGUAAUGGGUAAACUGCCAAUGCAACAUUGCUGGAACAUUAACAACAGUUUAGACAAGGGAACUCUCCUUCUCUCCAUUUAUUGUGGAAAAAUCUUGUGGUAUAUUAGACAAAAUCCACAGUUUUUCUAUGUAGCAUUAAGUGGGGUUUUUUGUUGGGUUUUUUUGUUUGUUUUGUUUUGUUUUGUUUUUUGUUUGUUUGGUUGGUUGGUUAGU